CAUCUCCGGGGGUAGAGCACUGUUUCGGCAAGGGGGUCAUCCCGACUUACCAACCCGAUGCAAACUGCGAAUACCGGAGAAUGUUAUCACGGGAGACACACGGCGGGUGCUAACGUCCGUCGUGAAGAGGGAAACAACCCAGACCGCCAGCUAAGGUCCCAAAGUCAUGGUUAAGUGGGAAACGAUGUGGGAAGGCCCAGACAGCCAGGAUGUUGGCUUAGAAGCAGCCAUCAUUUAAAGAAAGCGUAAUAGCUCACUGGUCGAGUCGGCCUGCGCGGAAGAUGUAACGGGGCUAAACCAUGCACCGAAGCUGCGGCAGCGACGCUUAUGCGUUGUUGGGUAGGGGAGCGUUCUGUAAGCCUGCGAAGGUGUGCUGUGAGGCAUGCUGGAGGUAUCAGAAGUGCGAAUGCUGACAUAAGUAACGAUAAAGCGGGUGAAAAGCCCGCUCGCCGGAAGACCAAGGGUUCCUGUCCAACGUUAAUCGGGGCAGGGUGAGUCGACCCCUAAGGCGAGGCCGAAAGGCGUAGUCGAUGGGAAACAGGUUAAUAUUCCUGUACUUGGUGUUACUGCGAAGGGGGGACGGAGAAGGCUAUGUUGGCCGGGCGACGGUUGUCCCGGUUUAAGCGUGUAGGCUGGUUUUCCAGGCAAAUCCGGAAAAUCAAGGCUGAGGCGUGAUGACGAGGCACUACGGUGCUGAAGCAACAAAUGCCCUGCUUCCAGGAAAAGCCUCUAAGCAUCAGGUAACAUCAAAUCGUACCCCAAACCGACACAGGUGGUCAGGUAGAGAAUACCAAGGCGCUUGAGAGAACUCGGGUGAAGGAACUAGGCAAAAUGGUGCCGUAACUUCGGGAGAAGGCACGCUGAUAUGUAGGUGAAGUCCCUCGCGGAUGGAGCUGAAAUCAGUCGAAGAUACCAGCUGGCUGCAACUGUUUAUUAAAAACACAGCACUGUGCAAACACGAAAGUGGACGUAUACGGUGUGACGCCUGCCCGGUGCCGGAAGGUUAAUUGAUGGGGUCAGCGCAAGCGAAGCUCUUGAUCGAAGCCCCGGUAAACGGCGGCCGUAACUAUAACGGUCCUAAGGUAGCGAAAUUCCUUGUCGGGUAAGUUCCGACCUGCACGAAUGGCGUAAUGAUGGCCAGGCUGUCUCCACCCGAGACUCAGUGAAAUUGAACUCGCUGUGAAGAUGCAGUGUACCCGCGGCAAGACGGAAAGACCCCGUGAACCUUUACUAUAGCUUGACACUGAACAUUGAGCCUUGAUGUGUAGGAUAGGUGGGAGGCUUUGAAGUGUGGACGCCAGUCUGCAUGGAGCCGACCUUGAAAUACCACCCUUUAAUGUUUGAUGUUCUAACGUUGACCCGUAAUCCGGGUUGCGGACAGUGUCUGGUGGGUAGUUUGACUGGGGCGGUCUCCUCCUAAAGAGUAACGGAGGAGCACGAAGGUUGGCUAAUCCUGGUCGGACAUCAGGAGGUUAGUGCAAUGGCAUAAGCCAGCUUGACUGCGAGCGUGACGGCGCGAGCAGGUGCGAAAGCAGGUCAUAGUGAUCCGGUGGUUCUGAAUGGAAGGGCCAUCGCUCAACGGAUAAAAGGUACUCCGGGGAUAACAGGCUGAUACCGCCCAAGAGUUCAUAUCGACGGCGGUGUUUGGCACCUCGAUGUCGGCUCAUCACAUCCUGGGGCUGAAGUAGGUCCCAAGGGUAUGGCUGUUCGCCAUUUAAAGUGGUACGCGAGCUGGGUUUAGAACGUCGUGAGACAGUUCGGUCCCUA
rnacentral:rRNA from 1 species